AGACCCGAAACCCGGUGAUCUAGCCAUGGGCAGGUUGAAGGUUGGGUAACACUAACUGGAGGACCGAACCGACUAAUGUUGAAAAAUUAGCGGAUGACCUGUGGCUGGGGGUGAAAGGCCAAUCAAACCGGGAGAUAGCUGGUUCUCCCCGAAAGCUAUUUAGGUAGCGCCUCGUGAAUUCAUCUCCGGGGGUAGAGCACUGUUUCGGCUAGGGGGCCAUCCCGGCUUACCAACCCGAUGCAAACUGCGAAUACCGGAGAAUGUUAUCACGGGAGACACACGGCGGGUGCUAACGUCCGUCGUGAAGAGGGAAACAACCCAGACCGCCAGCUAAGGUCCCAAAGUCAUGGUUAAGUGGGAAACGAUGUGGGAAGGCCCAGACAGCCAGGAUGUUGGCUUAGAAGCAGCCAUCAUUUAAAGAAAGCGUAAUAGCUCACUGGUCGAGUCGGCCUGCGCGGAAGAUGUAACGGGGCUAAACCAUGCACCGAAGCUGCGGCAGCGAACGUAUCACUUAAAGCGAUUCAGCGGGUUACGAUUGACGGAGCGAAGCGACGUCAAAGCGUAUACAAAGUCGAGUCGGUUUAAGGAUACGUUCGUUGGGUAGGGGAGCGUUCUGUAAGCCUGUGAAGGUGUGUCGUGAGGCAUGCUGGAGGUAUCAGAAGUGCGAAUGCUGACAUAAGUAACGAUAAAGCGGGUGAAAAGCCCGCUC
rnacentral:rRNA from 1 species